rnacentral:tRNA from 1 species
CAAAAUAUAGUUUAAUUUAAAAUAUUAAUUUUGGAGAUUAAUGAAAUAUUUAAUAAUAUUAUUUUGA